UACGAAGGGUGCAAGCGUUAUUCGGAAUUACUGGGCGUAAAGCGCGCGUAGGCGGUUUGUUAAGUCUGAUGUGAAAGCCCUGGGCUCAACCUGGGAAUUGCAUUGGAUACUGGCAGGCUAGAGUGCGGUAGAGGGUAGUGGAAUUCCCGGUGUAGCGGUGAAAUGCGUAGAGAUCGGGAGGAACAUCUGUGGCGAAGGCGGCUACCUGGCCCAGAACUGACGCUGAGGCGCGAAAGCGUGGGGAGCAAACAGG
rnacentral:rRNA from 1 species